rnacentral:lncRNA from 1 species
CGGAUCAUAUAGGUUUAUUCAAUGUGUGAUCUAACAUUCAUACACGACACGUAAGUACUUAUUUCUUCUUUUUACUAAUAUUUAGCGAUAUAUGAUAGUUUUGUUGAACUAGAUUAAAACUAGAUGUUAACAUUUAAUCAUGUUAUUUUACCAAUUGAAGGUCAGAUUCAAAAGACAAUUGGAAACCAGAAUUUACAUGAUAUGUGCACAUGCUGAUAUUCAAAUUACUGUUAAAAUUUCAAGGUUGAUAGUUUGACUCUUUGAUGAACUGUGACAGAGCUAAAAUGUUUAAUUCUUUUUGCGUGCAAAAUACUAGUAUUAUUGAAAUACUUGUCACUGGACAUUAAUAAACAAAAAUCAUUCACCCCCGCGGUGGAUUAAGGGGACUGACUGUAAGACUUAGUAAACUAAGAACCCACGAUCCACUACAAGCGCAAGUUGGAAAUAGGGGUUGGCUAAUUAUUCAUACUGGUUGCAAGAUAAACUAUAUGAAUAUUAAAUUGAAGAAUAUUCAAAUUUCAUUUGAACUCCUUGCGAACCUAAUCGUGAUCAGGCUGAAGAGUUUACUUAUUGGCAAUCAUACCCCAUACGUUCAUAAAUAUAAGAAGAUGUGGUAUGAGUGACAUCUAAGUCACAAUUCGUAAAAUUAAAGCAUUAUAUAGGUCAGAAAUUGAAAACAACACGUUUAAUAAUUUCUUGCGUUUCGAAGCGCCUCUCUUGAUUUAACUUUAUCAGGGACGCUUAAAUCCAAACAUUUGAAAUCCGAGGAUGCAUAAGUACCGAAACCGUUGAAGAGCUAUAUGACAAAAGUACCUAAAAUAAAUAGCCAAAUUCAUUUAAAGUCAACUUUGCCUGAAGGUACACUAUUCAACACUAAGCCAUGAAGGGAACAAAACUUACCAGUGUAAAACCAUUCAGACAGGUAAAACAACGGUCUAAUUUAUAUAAAAAAAAAAAACAAACAAAAACACGAGAAAGAAGAAAAAUGAGGAACCACAUCAAUAAAUACAAUAAAAUGUACGAACAUUGCGUUCAUUUUCUUUAUGUGUUAAUUUAAAGUAUUAAGUCAAGAGAAAAUAUGUUAAAUAUUUGACGUGCAUUAAGACAUCUGUUCUGCUACAUUUAGGUCAAAUACUACAUCUUUUUGAUCCUUUCAUGAAAUUGCUGCAGUUUUCUAUAUGCUCACUAGACAGUAUUACCGUCUAUGAAUUCGUUCUUGUACUAAACUUGUUGCCUUCCUUUCGCACAAACAAGACAAAUUUCUGUCAAACAUAAAAUAUUUUUGUUCCAAUUAAAAUCUCGCCUUCAAUUGAGGUUAUGUGUUUUUAAAUAUACACUGCUAUAUAUGGCUAAUUAUUCUAUAAAAAUUAUCAAAGUUAUUUCCCUUACGCCUAUUGAAUGACAUCAACUAAACAUUAAUUUUUCUCUGAAAAUUGAAUGUAACAAAUAACUGUUACAAUUGAAAUUGAUUUCAGCGUCAUUGAUGCAUCUUAUGUAGACGAAACGCGAGUCUGGUGUAUUAAAUUAUAAUCCUGGUACCUUUGAUAACUAUUUACAUCACUGGGUCGAUGUCACUGCUAUUGAACGUUUUAUCCCCAAGAGUAUCACCAGCCCAGUAGUCGGCACUUCGGUGUUGACAUGCAUAUCAAUUGUAUUGUCAUUUCUAUAAAUUUCCUGUUACAAAACUUUGAAAUUUUCGAAAAACUAGAGAUUUUCUUAUCCCAGGAAUAGAAUAUAUCUAAGCCGUAUUUGGCACAACUUUUUGGAAUUUUGUGUCUUUAAUGCUCUUCAACUUAGUUCUUGUUUUGCUUUAUAACUAUUUUGAUCAGAGCGUCACUGAUGAGUCUUAUGUAGACGAAACGAGCGUCUGGCUUAUCAAAUUUAUAAUCCUGGUACCUUUGAUAACUAUAAUCAAAUAAUAUUCUUAUUUAUGGUAAAAGGUAUUUACCAAAGAGGGACGAAAGAUACCAAAGGGACAGUCAAACUCAUAAAUGGAAAAUAAACUGACAACGCCUGACUAAAACUGAAAGAAGACAAACAGAUACACAAUAGAACCCAUGACACAACAUAGAAAACUAAAGAAUAAGCAACACGAACCCCAAUAUAUAUGCCAAUAUAUAUGCUGCCUCGUAUAGUUUACAACGUUUGCAUAUAAAUGUUCUUAAAUUGUACCAUUAUAUUGCAUAGCCAGAAUUUUCAUCGAAGUCCCAGUUUGUUUUAAACGUACUUUUGUAAACAGAUUAACAUUGUUGUAUCUACUGCCUCAAUCAUCAGUAGUUUGCUGGCAAAAGAACCAUGUCCAUGCAUUAUCACAAUUAACAAGAAGAGUCAAAUUGAAAUAAAUGGACCGAGAUUCUGCGACAUACAUUACAAAAAAUAUAUAGUGAUUUCUGAAAUAUUUUAAUGUUUCAAUUAUUCUAUAAAAAAUAUCAAAGUUAUUUCCCUUACGUCUAUAGAAUGACACCAACUUAACAUUUACUUUUCUCUGAAAAAAGAAUGUAAAAAUUAAAUUUCAUUUCCGGAGCAUCUGAUUUCACUUCAGGUUUUUAGUGGAGUUCGUGUUGUUUCUUAAUUAAUAUUUAUAACUGUUGAUGUAAAUGUCCUUUGGUUUUGUGAGUCUUUGUUUACUCUUUGGUUUUAAUUGUUAUUGUCUUCAAAUCUUAUUCUUAUUAAUGGUAAAAUAUAUUUACCAAUAUAUGUGCUGCCUCUUAUACAUGUUAUAGUUUACAAAAUUUGCAUGUAACCGUCCUUAAAUUGUACCAUUAUAUUGCAUCGCAAGAAUUUUCUUCGAAGUCCUAGUUUGUUUUAAUAUGACUUUUUGUAAACAGCAUGAUUAAACUAAUUAUAUCUGCUGCCUCAACCAACAGUAGUUUGCAGCAAACGAAUUUUGUCCAUGCAUUAGCAUAGUUAAUGAAAACGCGGAAGAUGACUUGGGGACAUUCAAAGCUCAUAAGUCGAAGAGAAACUGACAACACCAUGGCAAAACCAAAACACUUAAAUCACGAAGUGUACAAAUAAGCUACACAGAAAACUAGCAACUGAACAGACAGGAACUUCACAAAACCGUGGAUGAUCUAAGGUGCACCGGAAUGGUAAGCAGAUUGUCAUGUGGCACCCGUUUGUUGCACAUGGUAAAUAGAUUUUGGCGACAGGAGGACGGGAUUGUGGUUACGACAAUUGACACAUUUCCGUGUUCAUCUUUACAAUCAUGCAGACAACAAUUAAUCGAACUGGACUUUGUCAUUAACUGAUUUGAAUUACAUUUUUUUGGCUUGAUGUAAAGUAAACAAAUAUAAAUAUAUUCAUAAAUGAUACCAACAAAAGCUUCAACAAACGCAUUUAAAGUACAUUAAAAUCUGUUAAACGAAAGAAUCAAAACCUAUUCAACAAAACGUUGAAUACUAGUAUUAACAAAAUAAGGUCGUUUCUAAUCAAUACAUUUGUGGUUUUGUACACGCCAUGAAACACUUAGUUUCAAAGGAAUUGAUGAAAAAGGAAAUGGAAGCGAUAUUCUAUCAUGUCAUCGAAGUUGGCUUCAACAUAUUGAAUAUUUACUCAUAUUAAAUUGUUUUAAUGUGAUAAAUUAACCAUGGCAUAGAUAUUGGUGGAUGUUUUUUCCUACGGCUACCAACUGUGCUUCGCGUUUUGCUAUAUUCAGACUUUAUCAUAAAUCCUGGAAACAUAGAGUGACUUUUAGAUGUCACGUUUCUUCAUAUAAAUGAUUUCCUCUCACUUACAUCUAUACCAUAAAACUUCAACUAAAUGAAACCACAGAUGCAGUCAACUGUGCAUCAUAUACUGAAUUUUAUCUACAAAUGGUCGAUGCGGGUAGUUUAAGAAUAAAAUAAAUCACAAAAGAUGAUUACAGUUUUACAAAUAUUUAACUUCCCACUUCAAUGUUGCAACAUUUAGGGAGUGUAUAGACAGUGAAUUUAUAUUAACUAUUCCACAGUUUGCGUUUCCUGUCAAGAUUUUCUUCAUAGAGGAUUGAAACUCACAAGUAAAGGUGAAGUCAUCCCUUCGAAUGUUUUACGGACAUAGUCGAAAGUUGGUUGAUUGUAAUGGAAUAUCUUUGUCACAGUUGACCAUAGAUGUUUAGAUUGUGGGGAUUUUUAUCUGCUAGGGACCAGCAAUUUUACGACAUUUUUCAAAAUCAAACAUUUCUUUUCAAUAAGAUAAAGGUACAAGACCUUUUUUUGACUUGAUAUUGAAUUAUUUUACCCAUAAUUCAUUUCUCAUCUGAAACCAUUUUUGUUCUCAAAAACUUUAAAUCAAAUAAUUUAUUUAUAAAAAAAAAAACAUGCUACCGAGACUGACUAACGAAAGAUAAGUUUUUGAGGCCUUGUGACAAUAGAAUUUUAGUAAUCAGGUUAAGGCUAUACUAGUCUUUUUAUAAAUUCAAAAUACAUACUAAUCUUUGUAAUUUAAAAGAAUUUCACCCUUCUAAAUCAGGAUAUCAGGGCAUCUGGUAUAUAAUUUUAAUCUGUAUAUUUAUAUGAUAUUAAUGAUGGUGUAAUUUCAAACUUGUAUUACAAAAUAGAAUACUCUAUAUCAGUACAUCGCUUUCAUUUACAUAUUAAUAGUAUCGUUUGCAGUCUAAGCAUUUUUUUAAUUCAGAAAGUUGCGAUAUAGAAAAUUACGAUCUAUUUUUUAUUUAGAAAGUUACGAAAUGGAAAAUUUCGAUCACCAACCAAUCAUUAUUUUUAAAACGUGAGGAAAAAAGUUUAUACAGGAAAUAAAUAGAUUUCAUUUGGAUUUCAUGGAUUUUGUUAUUUUGUUUAGCUAUUUCUUUUGUUUUAAGACUAUCAUAUAUAUUGAAAAAUUACUUUUUAAUUUAAAAAGUUACGAAAUAGAUAAUCACGAUCCCUAACAGAUCUUGCUUCGGCACAGGUAAUGAAAUACGUUUCAUACAAGACCCGCUAGACCACUCGAUCAUCUGUGUAGAGCCUUGGUGAUCGAGUGGUCUCAGUUAAACGAUAUCUCAGUAGCAAGAAUAAAGGCAACAGUAGUAUAGCACUGUUCAAAAUUCAUAAAUCGAUUGAGAGAAAAAAACAAAUCCGGGUUACAAACUAAAACUGAUGGAAACACAUUAAAUAUAACAGGAGAACUACGCCACAACAGAAAUACAAUACUAAAAUGUAACACACACAGAAACGAGCUAUAAUAUAAUAAUGAAUAUUUUCCUGACUUGGUACAGGGCAUUUUAAGAAAAAAUAAUGGGUUGAACCUGGUUUUGUGGCUAGCAAAACCUCGCACUUUUAUAACAUGAGUUCGAAAUACGGUUUGUCCAUAUAUUGUGAAUAGCAGUAGUAUACGGUAUGUCUUCUUAUUGUACAAAUAGACUAGACUAUUGUAUGUCCUUGUAUCGUAAAAAAAGAACGGGACUACUGUAUUUCUAUAGUUUGUAAAUAAAACCAAUUAAAAUAUCGCUAGUCUUUAUAUUGUGAAAAAAGACCGAAAUAAUGCGUGUCCAUCAAUUAUAAAAGUGAUCGGGAUUCCGAAUGUCGUGAUAUUAGAAAAAAAAAAAAACAUAAACGAAACUGAAAAUAUCAUGUAUAUUGCAGAAGGAGGACUGGACACGUUAAAAGAAGGACCGAACAACUACAUGUAUUUAUAUUGUGAAAACAACAUUUUUGUUGUUAUAUUAUAUAAACAUACGGUAUUUUGUGCAAAAUGACUGAAAUAAGGUGUGCAGUUAUAUUGACAAAUAUGACGGGAA